rnacentral:rRNA from 1 species
GAUGAACGCUGGCGGCGUGCCUAAUACAUGCAAGUCGAGCGAAUGGAUUAAGAGCUUGCUCUUAUGAAGUUAGCAGCGGACGGGUGAGUAACACGUGGGUAACCUGCCCAUAAGACUGGGAUAACUCCGGGAAACCGGGGCUAAUACCGGAUAACAUUUUGAACCGCAUGGUUCGAAAUUGAAAGGCGGCUUCGGCUGUCACUUAUGGAUGGACCCGCGUCGCAUUAGCUAGUUGGUGAGGUAACGGCUCACCAAGGCAACGAUGCGUAGCCGACCUGGGAGGUGGAUCGGCCACACUGGGACUGAGACACGGCCCAGACUCCUACGGGAGGCAGCAGUAGGGAAUCUUCCGCAAUGGACGAAAGUCUGACGGAGCAACGCCGCGUGAGUGAUGAAGGCUUUCGGGUCGUAAAACUCUGUUGUUAGGGAAGAACAAGUGCUAGUUGAAUAAGCUGGCACCUUGACGGUACCUAACCAGAAAGCCACGGCUAACUACGUGCCAGCCGCCGCAGUAA